rnacentral:rRNA from 1 species
CGCGGCCUAUCAGCUUGUUGGCGGGGUAAUGGCCCACCAAGGCAACGACGGGUAGCUGGUCUGAGAGGAUGGUCGGCCACACUGGGACUGAGACACGGCCCAGACUCCUACGGGAGGCAGCAGUGGGGAAUCUUGCGCAAUGGGCGAAAGCCUGACGCAGCAACGCCGCGUGCGGGAAGAAGGCUUUCGGGCUGUAAACCGCUUUCAGCAGGAACGAAAAUGACGGUACUUGCAGAAGAAGGAGCGGCCAACUAUGUGCCAGCAGCCGCGGUGAUACAUAGGCUUCAAGCGUUGUCCGGAUUUAUUGGGCGUAAAGAGUUCGUAGGCGGUCGAGUAAGUCGGGUGUGAAAAUUCUGGGCUCAACCCAGAGACGCCACCCGAUACUGCUUAACUUGAGUUCGAUAGGGGAGUGGGGAAUUCCUAGUGUAGCGGUGAAAUGCGCAGAUAUUAGGAGGAACACCGGUGGCGAAGGCGCCACUCUGGAUCGACACUGACGCUGAGGAACGAAAGCAUGGGUAGCAAACAGGAUUAGAUACCCUGGUAGUCCAUGCGGUAAACGGUGGGCACUAGGUGUGGGUUUCUAUUAACGAAAUCCGCGCCGUCGCUAACGCAUUAAGUGCCCCGCCUGGGGAGUACGG